UCCUAGUUAACCUAGGCAGUCUCAUUAGAGUUCCCACCAUUACGUGCUGGCAACUAAUGACAAGGGUUGCGCUCGUUGCGGGACUUAACCCAACACCUCACGGCACGAGCUGACGACAGCCAUGCAGCACCUGUGCAGAAGCCCCGAAGGGAUUUACCAUCUCUGGUACUGUCUUCUGCAUGUCAAGCCUGGGUAAGGUUCUUCGCGUUGCAUCGAAUUAAACCACAUGCUCCACUGCUUGUGCGGGUCCCCGUCAAUUCUUUUGAGUUUCACCCUUGCGAGCGUACUCCCCAGGCGGUAUACUUAUCGCGUUAGCUACGGCACAGUUAGGGUUGAAUCCAACUACACCUAGUAUACAUCGUUUAAGGCAAGGACUAC
rnacentral:misc_RNA from 1 species